GAUGAACGCUAGCUACAGGCUUAACACAUGCAAGUCGAGGGGCAGCGGUAUCGAAAGCUUGCUUUCGGUAGCCGGCGACCGGCGCACGGGUGAGUAACGCGUAUCGAACCUGCCUCAUACUCGGGAAUAGCCUUGCGAAAGUAAGAUUAAUGCCCGGUGUUUUCAGAGUCCCGCAUGAGGCUUUGAACAAAGAUUUAUCGGUAUGAGAUGGCGAUGCGUCCCAUUAGCUUGUUGGCGGGGUAACGGCCCACCAAGGCAUCGAUGGGUAGGGGUUCUGAGAGGAAGGUCCCCCACAUUGGAACUGAGACACGGUCCAAACUCCUACGGGAGGCAGCAGUGAGGAAGAUUGGUCAAUGGGCGGAAGCCUGAACCAGCCAAGUAGCGUGCAGGAAGACGGCCCUCCGGGUUGUAAACUGCUUUUAGUUGGGAAUAAAACGGGGCUCGUGAGCCCCCUUGCAUGUACCAUCAGAAAAAGGACCGGCUAAUUCCGUG
rnacentral:rRNA from 1 species